AGACGAGCAGACUGGCAUCAUCCUGGGGGAGAGUCUCAUCCAUGACUGCACCUUCAUCACCAGUGAGCUCAUCCUCUCCAACAUCCACGUCUCUGCCAACGGUGAGUGGGAAUGCGCCGUCUCCACCUCCCAGGGCAACGUCAGCAAGAAGGUGGAGAUCGUGGUGCUGGAGACAUCGGCCUCGUACUGCCCGGCCGAGAGGAUCACCAACAACCGUGGGGACUUCAGGUGGCCCCGCACCUUGGCCGGCAUCACUGCCUACCAGUCCUGCCUGCAGUACCCCUUCACCUCACUGGCUGCGAACGGGAGCCCCGCGGUGGAGAAGCAGGCGUCGCGGCGCUGCGACCGCAUGGGACGCUGGGAGGAGGGCGACUACUCGCACUGCCUGUACACCAAUGACAUCACCCGCGUGCUCUACACCUUUGUGCUGGUGA
rnacentral:lncRNA from 1 species